UGGGGAAUAUUGGGCAAUGGGCGAAAGCCUGACCCAGCAACGCCGCGUGAGUGAAGAAGGUUUUCGGAUCGUAAAACUCUGUCCGGAGGGAAGAAGAAAUGACGGUACCUCUGGAGGAAGCCCCGGCUAAUUACGUGCCAGCAGCCGCGGUAAUACGUAAGGGGCAAGCGUUGUCCGGAAUGACUGGGCGUAAAGGGUGCGUAGGUGGUAUUUUAAGUCAGAUGUGAAAGGCUCCUGCUCAACGGGAGAGUUGCAUUUGAAACUGGGGUACUUGAGUGCAGGAGGGGGAAGCGGAAUUCCUGGUGUAGCGGUGAAAUGCGUAGAGAUCAGGAGGAACACCGGUGGCGAAGGCGGCUUUCUAGACUGUAACUGACACUGAGGCACGAAAGCGUGGGGAGCAAACA
rnacentral:rRNA from 1 species